UUGAGCAGGAUCUGGCAUGUUGGAAACAUGCACAUGCACCACCCACAAGGAAGGACUUGCUGGUCAGGACUUGCUGGGCUGCCUGGGAGGACAGUCAGCAGACAGCCUGCACAUGUUGCUCCUUCAGGCUCAGCCUAAGCCCUGAGCCACCUUGCUAAGCUCAUACCUUUUUCAGGGAAACCUGCAUUCAGCGACUACAUUUCAGGCUGACUUGGGACAUUUGGCAAGGACAGUACUUGCUUGAAGAGCUCUUUACCCCUGUGGAUAAGGCUUUGUCAAAAUUGUGUCACAGCUUUCGGCUUUCUGCUCGGAGGAGGCCAAGACCAAACUUUCUUCAGUUGUCCCGAAUCCAGGUUCAUCCAACACCAGCCACCUCCACCAUGCCGCCUAAGUUCAACCCCAACGAGAUCAAAGCCAUGUACCUGAGAUGCACCAGUGGAGAAAUCAGUGCUAAAUCUGCCUUGGCCCCCAAGAUCGGCCCUCUGGGUCUGUCCCCAAAAGAGGUUGGUGAUGACAUCGCCAAGGCAGCUGGUGAUUGGAAGGGUCUGAGAAUUACAGUGAAACCAACCAUUCAGAACAGACAAGCCCAGAUGGAGGUGGUACCUUCUGCCUCUGCCCUGAUCAUCAAAGCUCCAAAGGAACUGCCAAGAGACAGAAAGAAGCAGAAAAACAUUAAGCACAGUGGAAACAUCACUUUUGAUGAGAUUGUCAACAUUGCCCGACAGAUGCGGCGCUGCUCUUUAGCUAGAGAACUUUCUGGAACCAUUAAAGAGAUCCUGGGGACUGCCCAGUCUGUGGGCUGCAAUGUUAAUGGCCGCCGCCCUCACGACAUCAUAGAUGACAUCAGCAGUGGUGCAGUGGAAUGUCAAGCUAGCUAAGAACUGCAAAGAAAAAUAAAGAUUAUUUGACAACUAAAAAAAAAAAAAAAAAAA